AUAUUGUCAAUACUCUGUGGGCCGAGGGAGUUUUUGCCCCAUUCUAAGACGACGUCCUCCCUGAGGUGCUCCUGCUUCUGCGAGAGCCUGCUCCCGAGGCCGACCAGCUGCAGGAUCCCUGGAUGCAGAACUCAACCAGGGGACAGAUGCAUCUGCAUUUUAUGCAAAUAGCAACUUCGUGGAUCAGUUUCUCCUCUCUCUGUGGAACAGUAGCAUCUGGAAAAUAGAAUUCCAAGAGCUCUAGCACAUUCACAGGUGACCAGAAGUGACCAAACAACACAGUUUCUUUAUCACCCCUGUGAACAUCAGGAAGUGGUGCAAAGGAGAGCCAGCUCAUGGAAGGAGGUAGCAUUCUGCUCUACCGAAGUCUUAACAGAACAGUAAUAUUCUUUGCCAUGGGAGGAAACUACAAUUUACAGAAUAUUCACGGCCCUCAUGCUGCUGCUUCCAUUAUUUUUAAGAAAGCUUGAUAAAUAGUAAAUGCCAACUGUAUGCCAAGGAUCCCUGAGUUGCAUAAUAGCUGAAAUAGACAGGUCAUGUUUGCUGAUGGCCUGUCUAAAUUUCACUUCUGCUUUCAGCAUUGUGGAUAACAGCAA